rnacentral:rRNA from 1 species
GACGAACGCUGGCGGCGUGCUUAACACAUGCAAGUCGAACGGAAAGGCCCUGCUUUUGUGGGGUGCUCGAGUGGCGAACGGGUGAGUAACACGUGAGUAACCUGCCCUUGACUUUGGGAUAACUUCGGGAAACUGGGGCUAAUACCGGAUAGGAGCUCCUGCUGCAUGGUGGGGGUUGGAAAGUUUCGGCGGUUGGGGAUGGACUCGCGGCUUAUCAGCUUGUUGGUGGGGUAGUGGCUUACCAAGGCUUUGACGGGUAGCCGGCCUGAGAGGCUGACCGGCCACAUUGGGACUGAGAUACGGCCCAGACUCCUACGGGAGGCAGCAGUGGGGAAUAUUGCACAAUGGGCGGAAGCCUGAUGCAGCAACGCCGCGUGCGGGAUGACGGCCUUCGGGUUGUAAACCGCUUUCGCCUGUGACGAAGCGUGAGUGACGGUAAUGGGUAAAGAAGCACCGGCUAACUACGUG